rnacentral:tRNA from 1 species
CGCCGUCGGGGUGCCGCACGUCGACGGCGUCUACUGGACGCUGUGGGCCGAGCUGCGGUUCUACCUGCUCGUCGGCGU